AUUGAACGCUGGCGGCAGGCCUAACACAUGCAAGUCGAACGAGUGGCGGACGGGUGAGUAAUGUCUGGGAAACUGCCUGAUGGAGGGGGAUAACUACUGGAAACGGUAGCUAAUACCGCAUACCAUCGGAUGUGCCCAGAUGGGAUUAGCUAGUAGGUGGGGUAACGGCGAACCUAGGCGACGAUCCCUAGCUGGUCGGAGAGGAUAACCAGCAAGACUGGAACUGAGACACGGUACAGACUCCUACGGGAGGCAGCAGUGGGGAAUAUUGCACGAUGGGAGCAAGCCUGAUGCAGCCCUGCCGCGUGUAUGAAGAAGGCCUUCGGGUUGUAAAGUACUGUCAGCGGGGAGGCGUUACCCGAAGAAGAAGCACCGGCUGACUCCGUGCCAGCAGCCGCGGUAAUUC
rnacentral:rRNA from 1 species